CAGUAGUUACUGGGUUUGGCCGCUAGAUGUCACUAGAGAAUGUACAUCACUUCCGGCGGAGCACACCUAGUCGACACACCUGCCUCCAGUCUGUUAUUUGAGGGCAAACUACUUCCAAGUCUGUGUCACACCUGAGCCGGAACAGCACCAGUGAUGAAAACCACAAAAGUAUCACCGCCAAAACUGAAACGCGGCGCAGGCAGCCCAAAGUGCAAAGUGGUCCUCAAUGAAAGGGACUUUGCCAGCAGCCCGGACUCAGACGCUGCAACAGUU